rnacentral:rRNA from 1 species
AACGAACGCUGGCGGCAUGCCUAACACAUGCAAGUCGAACGAGACCUUCGGGUCUAGUGGCGCACGGGUGCGUAACGCGUGGGAACCUGCCCUUAGGUUCGGAAUAACUCCCCGAAAGGGGUGCUAAUACCGGAUAAUGUCUUCGGACCAAAGAUUUAUCGCCUUUGGAUGGGCCCGCGUUGGAUUAGCUAGUUGGUAGGGUAAAAGCCUACCAAGGCGACGAUCCAUAGCUGGUCUGAGAGGAUGAUCAGCCACACUGGGACUGAGACACGGCCCAGACUCGUACGGGAGGCAGCAGUGGGGAAUAUUGAACAAUGGACGAAAGACUGAUCCAGCAAUGCCGCGUGAGUGAUGAAGGCCUUAGGGUUGUAAAGCUCUUUUACCCGGGAUGAUAAUGACAGUACCGGGAGAAUAAGCUCCGGCUAACUCCGUG